UCCAAUAAAUAUCAUUUUUUAAAAAAAAUGAACACACCUGAUCUCAGAAGCUAAGCAGUGUCAGGCUUAUUUAGUACUUGAGUGGGAGACCGCCUGGGAAUACUGAGUGCCGUGGGCU